UCAGCCUCCCAAAGUGCUGGGAUUACAGGCGUGAGCCACCGCGGCUGGCCAGCGCUGACUCUUUUACAGCUUGCUGUUGCAGAGUCAGGAAGGAUCCAGACCAAGAUGCACCCUCCACAGCCGCUCAGAGUUCAAUGAAGUGCCAUUACUCCAGCAGCACUUACCGGAGCGGAACAGAACUGGCUGCCCCCUGGCCCUUGGCCUCGCUGCCCUCACUGGAAGGACCAGAGUCCAGAGCGUGGCUGCAUAUUCAAGGACACCAGCCAGACAGUUCAGCAGGGGGUUGCAGCUCAUAAGGUCAUCGGCCACAGGGGCCACUACUAUGGUCUUGGAAUCGGCUGCGAUGUCAUCCCAGGUUGAUGACCUAGCCUGGACAGGAAGAGCUGUGCAUAUCGUCAAGGCUGUGCUUACAGUACAUCAGUGAGGCACAGCACCUGUGCAUCCCAGCAAAGCCCAGAGUGACCCAUUUUUCACCUCAGUAGCCAGCAUCAGCAUGCCAGUGGUCUGUCUCCUUCUCUGGCGCCCCAGUCCUUUCCAGAAAUUCACCCAGCUUGCUGACAAGAGACUGUGCAGGUGCUGCUGUUACCUGGUGGUGGGCUGUCAUCGGACAGCUGCAGGUGAUCGCCCUGAGGCUUGGUUGUGGAGGUUGUCAAGCAGAAGGCUGGCAAUAUUCCCACAGCCCGGAUGUGCCGAGGCAGCGUACGUGAGUCAGGCCACAGCUGCUGCAGCCACAGUGUGGCUUUGUGCUGUGAUCGCCUGCAGAGAGGAGCAGCCACUCACCCAUCCACGGACUCUCCUAAUUGCUUCUUAGCACCUAUAAUUCCCUUUCUCCUGGGAAAAGCCCUGCAAGUUCCAGGCUUUCCCCUACCCUGUUCUGUGGAUUCCUUUUGGUUGAUUUCCCAGUAUGAGAUCCAGCAUUAUUCCUUUUGAAAUUGUAAUCCCUGCUGUUUUCCCACAUCGAGAGUGAAACUAAGAGGCACUUUUUUAAGAAUCUGCUUCCAAGUGCUCUUGGACCAAGUUUAAGUUCUCUGUCUACUCUAGCAGGCUCCGCCCAUUCCCAGGGCAUCUGUCUGAAGUGGGGCCUCUCCUGGCCAAAUCCUACCAGCCAAGACCUGGAUCUCCCAGAGCUCAGAAAGCUCCCACUGGCAGGGGCCCUGUUUUCCUUCCUGCGUCCUUUCUCUCCCCUUGUCCCCUGGUCUCCAGAUGAGAAGACACAGAUGGCACUUGUCCCAAGAAGACCUUCACUUGUGCUGUGGGCAGGGAGGUCACUCUUCCCUUUCUUAGCACAAAGCAGUCACUGUGCUCUGCCUUGCAGAGGGAAAAUGCAAAUGGUGCUCUGGGUGUGGCCGAGUUCCUGGGGGCCCCAAGUGCUGGGGCUGCAUUCUUUAUGGGACAGCCUUUUUCUUCCCUUUCUGCAGGCUGGGCCUGAAAUAUGAAGAUUACUUAAAACUCAUACUAUGCCAGGACAUGGACAUCGCAACAAAUUGGGUAAUGAGUGUCAACUCAAAGACUAUUUAAGAUUAAUUGCUGCAUAAGAAAACCUGAAAUGCCCUGAAAGCUUAUGGACCAUAAAUGAAAGAAAAGUUCAUCACAACGUCCUCAAGCUUGGAAACAACCCUAAGACUUCAAGACUAACAAACAGAUGUGAGGCUGAAACUCUUCUGAACUUUAAUAACAAAAACAAGGUGUGAUAAUUGUACAAGACAGAAGAACUAUUUUUCUAUUCCCUCUACAGGAAGAUAUUAUUGCAGAAUCAUUAUUUUUGCUGUUGUUUGUUUUAUUUUUUAUUUUUAUUUUUAGAGACAGGGUUCUCCCCGCCUCCCCAGGCUGGAGUGCCGUGGCACGAUCAUAGCUCACUAUGGCCUCGAACUCAUGGGCUGCAGUGACCCUUCAACUUCAGCCUCCCCAGUAGCCAGGACUGUAGGGCAGGCAGGAUCAUUCUUCUUUGAAGAGAGAUAUACAGCCCAAAAAAUGCAGAGAAAGGAUGUUUAGAGGUACCUCGGGCAAUUAUUAAGCAAAAAUAUUGCGUCGUUCUUUUGAGUUUUAUAUUUGCAGUAUUGGUCAGCUUCUGAAACUUUGUAAGCCUUUCUUGCAUUGCUCACCAAAGCCUGGAGAUUUCAACCACUAUCAAUGGCUUUACAUGUUGUAUGCCCAGGGACACCUAUGGUGCAAUCAUAAUAGCUAAUUUUCCCUGCAGUGCACAAAUCUCAUACUCUUGAAAGCCAGAUGUAGUCAGUUCUCAGUCCCUUUGAUGCAAUGAAGUUAUGUGUGUGCAACCAGCCUCCUUUUCCUGCAUGAGCUCCUUGAAACACUGCUUUUUCUGGAAAAAAAA